rnacentral:rRNA from 1 species
CAGUCGCCGCGGUAAAACGUAGGGUGCAAGCGUUAAUCGGAAUUACUGGGCGUAAAGCGUGCGCAGGCGGUAAUGUAAGACAGAUGUGAAAUCCCCGGGCUCAACCUGGGAACUGCAUUCGUGACUGCAUUGCUGGAGUGCGGCAGAGGGGGAUGGAAUUCCGCGUGUAGCAGUGAAAUGCGUAGAUAUGCGGAGGAACACCGAUGGCGAAGGCAAUCCCCUGGGCCUGCACUGACGCUCAUGCACGAAAGCGUGGGGAGCAAACAGGAUUAGAGACCCGUGUAGUCCCUGUCUCUUAUAC